GACGAACGCUGGCGGCGUGCUUAACACAUGCAAGUCGAACGGAAAGGCCCUGCUUUUGUGGGGUGCUCGAGUGGCGAACGGGUGAGUAACACGUGAGUAACCUGUCCUUGACUUUGGGAUAACUUCAGGAAACUGGGGCUAAUACCGGAUAGGAGCUCCUGCUGCAUGGUGGGGGUUGGAAAGUUUCGGCGGUUGGGGAUGGACUCGCGGCUUAUCGGCUUGUUGGUGGGGUAGUGGCUUACCAAGGCCUUGACGGGUAGCCGGCCUGAGAGGGUGACCGGCCACAUUGGGACUGAGCUACGGCCCAGACUCCUACGGGAGGCAACAGUGGGGAAUAUUGCACAAUGGGCGGAAGCCUGAUGCAGCAACGCCGCGUGCGGGAUGACGGCCUUCGGGUUGUAAACCGCUUUCGCCUGUGACGAAGCGUGAGUGACGGUAAUGGGUAAAGAAGCACCGGCUAACUACGUG
rnacentral:rRNA from 1 species